rnacentral:lncRNA from 1 species
GUAGCAUUUACACUAAUGUUUUAUUUUUUUGUCACAUUUUUUACUUAAUUUUUACAUGUAUUUACUUUUAGUGUUGUGAAUGAUAUUAUUGGUACACAUGUAUGAUAUCAUUUAUAAAUGUGUACGUAUCGUGACCUAUAGUUGUUUAUUUCUAUGUCAUUUUGGUCUCUUGUGGAGAGAUGUCACAUUGGCAAUCAUACCACAUCUUCUUAUUUUUAUGAGAACCUUUCUUUAUGUUGGGUGCCAUUGAAAAUGGAAAAUACAUCUGUGAUCAGGCCAUGUAAUUAUAGAUUGUUACAUUUUCAUGUCUGCUGUGGUAUCAUGCUGAGACUCCCAUUUAAACUAGAGGGAUCAUAUGGAUCAAAGGAUGAUACAUGGAAAAGAGUAUGUUAUUAUCAUGGGAUUCAUCUCUUAAAAGACAUAUACAGUACAGUAGAAUAUAAUUCUUCAACUAAAUAAUUUUCAGUACUAGAAGGUUGAGCAAAAAAUUUGAGAUAUAGUCCUUGAAUAUCAUUGUAAGAUUCUAGGAGUGUGUAGAGUGGGUAUGGCUCCCCCAUUUAAAAAGGAAGAAAUAACAUGUUUUGGCUUCAAAUCACUACAUUAUUUCCCAACUUGCAUAUAUUCUGUUUUCUUAAAUUGAACUUGUUAUUUUAGUGUUAUUGUCAGGCUAUUGGUAUUUGUUUUUCUUCUGCAUUUCAUUAUGUUCAACAAUGGCAGAACAAGUAUUAUUCUCCUUAUAUGAAAAAUGACAAAUCAGUUGAUUGUUUGUGAAUAUUUAUAUUGAUGUAUAGGAUAGGGUUCACAUCAAAUACAUUUAAUGAUACUUGUCUCGCCUGUAAUAGGCAAGAUGUUGAUGAAUCCUGGUUUCCUUGUAAGAGGAUUAUCCAUGAGAAUUCAGUAAUGCAAUUAUUGCCAUUUCAAUUCUUCUCACUUCUGUACAUUUUUUUAAUGAAUUGUAGUUGUCUAAAUAGUAUAUAUAAAAAAUGUAAAUGAAUCCUGUCCAGAAAUACACUGUAAUUCCUAUAAUUCAAUGUUCCUGUACAGAUCAAAUUGUAAGUUCAGAAAUCUUGGCAGAUUAUUUUAUUGCUAAAAUAAGAAAUUGCAAUCUGGUAUCUGAUGCAUAUAUCUGUAUGCAGAUUUUCAUGAAAUUCCAAUAAUAAGUAUUGUUUUUUGUUAAUAAAUAACAAUUAUAAUUGUACACAAUAAUUUCUGAAUUAACAGUUUAUAUAAAAGAUUUAAGUACUCCCUGUAUAGAAA